rnacentral:rRNA from 1 species
CAGCAGCCGCGGGAAUACGUAGGGGGCGAGCGUUGUCCGAAGUUACUGGGCGUAAAGAGCGCGUAGACGGGUCUUUAAGUGAGGGGUGAAAGGUUCAGGGCUCAACCCGGACACUGCCUUUCAUACUGGAGACCUUGAGUGUGGGAGAGGCGAGUGGAAUGGUCGGUGUAGCGGUGAAAUGCGUAGAUAUCGAUCGGAACACCCAUGGCGAAGGCAGCUCGCUGGCCUAUAACUGACGCUGAGGCGCGAAAGCGUGGGGAGCAAACAGGAUUAGAUACCCCUGUAGUCCCUGUCUCUUAUA